rnacentral:rRNA from 1 species
GACGAACGCUGGCGGCGUGCUUAACACAUGCAAGUCGAGCGGAAAGGCCACUUCGGUGGUACUCGAGCGGCGAACGGGUGAGUAACACGUGAGUAAUCUGCCCUUGGCUUUGGGAUAGCCACCGGAAACGGUGAUUAAUACCGGAUACGACCACUUCUCGCAUGGGAUGGUGGUGGAAAGUUUUUCGGCCAGGGAUGUGCUCGCGGCCUAUCAGCUUGAUGGUGAGGUAAUGGCUCACCAUGGCUUCGACGGGUAGCCGGCCUGAGAGGGUGACCGGUCACACUGGGACUGAGACACGGCCCAGACUCCUACGGGAGGCAGCAGUGGGGAAUAUUGGACAAUGGGCGGAAGCCUGAUCCAGCAACGCCGCGUGAGGGAUGACGGCCUUCGGGUUGUAAACCUCUUUCAGUUGGGACGAAGCCUCGACGGUUAAUACCCGUCUGAGGUGACGGUACCUUCAGAAGAAGCCCCGGCUAACUAC